rnacentral:rRNA from 1 species
UACAGGGGGUGCAAACGUUGCUCGGAAUCAUUGGGCGUAAAGCGCACGUAGGCGGUUCGUUAUGUCGGAUGUGAAAGCCCUUGGCUUAACCGAGGAAGUGCAUCCGAAACUGGCGAGCUAGAGUACGAAAGAGGAUCGCGGAAUUCCCGGUGUAGAGGUGAAAUUCGUAGAGAUGUGGAGGAACACCAGUGGCGAAGGCGGCUUUCUGGUCUGUAACUGACGCUGAGGCGCGAAAGCGUGGGGAGCAAACAGG